rnacentral:tRNA from 1 species
GUAUUAGUGUCUGAAUAAAGUAAAGAAUUGUAAACUCUUUUAAACGUUGAAUUUAUAUACGUCUAAUACA